GAAGAUAUAGCUCAGUGGUAGAGUGCAUGCUUAACAUGCACCAGGUCCUGAGUUCAAUCCCCAGUAUUUCCA
rfam:Camelus ferus unplaced genomic scaffold scaffold255, whole genome shotgun sequence.